rnacentral:rRNA from 1 species
UUUUAUGGAGAGUUUGAUCCUGGCUCAGAGUGAACGCUGGCGGCGUGCCUAAUACAUGCAAGUCGAACGAUGAAGCUUCUAGCUUGCUAGAAGUGGAUUAGUGGCGCACGGGUGAGUAACGCAUAGGUUAUGUGCCUCUUAGUUUGGGAUAGCCAUUGGAAACGAUGAUUAAUACCAGAUACUCCCUACGGGGGAAAGAUUUAUCGCUAAGAGAUCAGCCUAUGUCCUAUCAGCUUGUUGGUAAGGUAAUGGCUUACCAAGGCUAUGACGGGUAUCCGGCCUGAGAGGGUGAACGGACACACUGGAACUGAGACACGGUCCAGACUCCUACGGGAGGCAGCAGUAGGGAAUAUUGCUCAAUGGGGGAAACCCUGAAGCAGCAACGCCGCGUGGAGGAUGAAGGUUUUAGGAUUGUAAACUCCUUUUGUUAGAGAAGAUAAUGACGGUAUCUAACGAAUAAGCACCGGCUAACUCCGUGCCAGCAGCCGCGGUAAUACGGAGGGUGCAAGCGUUACUCGGAAUCACUGGGCGUAAAGAGCGCGUAGGCGGGAUAGUCAGUCAGGUGUGAAAUCCUAUGGCUUAACCAUAGAACUGCAUUUGAAACUACUAUUCUAGAGUGUGGGAGAGGUAGGUGGAAUUCUUGGUGUAGGGGUAAAAUCCGUAGAGAUCAAGAGGAAUACUCAUUGCGAAGGCGACCUGCUGGAACAUUACUGACGCUGAUUGCGCGAAAGCGUGGGGAGCAAACAGGAUUAGAUACCCUGGUAGUCCACGCCCUAAACGAUGGAUGCUAGUUGUUGGAGGGCUUAGUCUCUCCAGUAAUGCAGCUAACGCAUUAAGCAUCCCGCCUGGGGAGUACGGUCGCAAGAUUAAAACUCAAAGGAAUAGACGGGGACCCGCACAAGCGGUGGAGCAUGUGGUUUAAUUCGAAGAUACACGAAGAACCUUACCUAGGCUUGACAUUGAGAGAAUCCGCUAGAAAUAGUGGAGUGUCUGGCUUGCUAGACCUUGAAAACAGGUGCUGCACGGCUGUCGUCAGCUCGUGUCGUGAGAUGUUGGGUUAAGUCCCGCAACGAGCGCAACCCCCUUUCUUAGUUGCUAACAGGUUAUGCUGAGAACUCUAAGGAUACUGCCUCCGUAAGGAGGAGGAAGGUGGGGACGACGUCAAGUCAUCAUGGCCCUUACGCCUAGGGCUACACACGUGCUACAAUGGGGUGCACAAAGAGAAGCAAUACUGCGAAGUGGAGCCAAUCUUCAAAACACCUCUCAGUUCGGAUUGUAGGCUGCAACUCGCCUGCAUGAAGCUGGAAUCGCUAGUAAUCGCAAAUCAGCCAUGUUGCGGUGAAUACGUUCCCGGGUCUUGUACUCACCGCCCGUCACACCAUGGGAGUUGUGUUUGCCUUAAGUCAGGAUGCUAAAUUAGCUACUGCCCACGGCACACACAGCGACUGGGGUGAAGUCGUAACAAGGUAACCGUAGGUGAACCUGCGGUUGGAUCACCUCCUUUCUAGA